rnacentral:ncRNA from 1 species
UUUAUUUUUUGCCAAACAUUUUGUGAGGUGGGGACGGAAAGCUUCAGGUCUCAUUAAUGAUGAUGAGAUAGCUGAGUUGCAUAU